GGGGACGAUAGGUUUCGACGGAAUCGCACUUUGAAUUGCUGCAAGCCGAGUUUAGUUAGUACUCGUUAAACAAAACUAAAAAAACUAAACGGCACGUAUAAUACGUACCGCGCACAGCCAGCGUAUCUUUACGCUUAAGUGUCAUUGAUAUCUAAGUGCUCCCAACCGCUUGAUAUUGGUGUAAACCGAUAGUUGAGAUGCGAUAAAGAAUCGAUCGGACUUUAUUUAAGACAAGAUCAAACAAAUACUAUUACUUUUGUUUGUUGAAGAUGUAUUUGUUAAAAAAAUUCAGCAAUCUAAGCUUGUAGAUGCGUCCAGUGAUGCUUUUUCGGAUGAGGGUUCAACUCCCUCCGUCUCCACUC
rnacentral:tmRNA from 1 species